CCUUGUGGCUCAUCGUGCCGAGGGGGUGUAACAAGGAAAGAUGCAUAACAGUAAAAUUAUAUCGCUAUAUAUCAAUAAUAUUAUUGGUGUUCUAAAUUUCCAACUCUUACUUUAUUUUUAUUUUUAGUCUGUCUACAUAAUUAAUGUUCUUCAAAACAAUUUUAAAAUCACGAGAACAACUUUUUUCCUCUCUUUUCUUUAGUUAGAUGUGAAGCAGCCUUCAUUUUAAACAUUAAACUUGUUAAUUAUUCCUUAUUAUGGCGUAAUUUUGUCUUUGAAGCGAAUAAAUCUAAUUUUCUCCAAUUGCGUCACUCUUGGAUCCCUUUCUUCUACUUAUAAGUUUCCAUAAUUUGCUUUGCUGUUACUGUGGUAAUUUAUUAAUUCCGAAGUCUUACCUGCAGAAGCUGCGUGGUGCUUGCCCAUAAAUGCAUCUUUCUUUGGCGAAACAGGGUCAAACUUACGACACACUCCAUUUUUAAAUUAUUAUUUGUACGUCUCUUUCCGAUGCCGUUGUCGAUGACGUCCUUUUUAGUGUUGUUUAGGUUGGAGUAUUCUAGAUGAAAAAAUGCUAUAUUCAAAGAUGAGGACUCUAAAUCCUCUGAGAAGUCUUACUUGAAAUGGUCUGGAAUUAAGUUGCGGUCAUGCAGGAGUAUAACCAGUGUAGUUGCUAAAGCACCGCUGAAUAAGCCAAUAGCAGGCACCCAUCGAGUACUGCAGACAAUACACUGCUUUCUGUAGUGUUCGCUUCCUGUUUACGUGGGCCAUUGGAGUCCGGACGGAAAGAUGGAGCACCGUACGUCGUACAUCAGUUUCUGGAAUUUUCAAAAACAUAUCGUCCUGAUGAUGGAGGCAGCAAGCACGCUUGACAUGUCGGUCAGUUCCUGUGCAACGUCCGAAGUCGCCGUAAGAACGUGAAGUCUUAUCGAACUGUUUUGCCCACUUGUAAUCGGAUCCAACACAGAAUUUUGUCAGUCGUAAUUUUAUAUUGCUGCAUAAGGAUGUAGACAUUAUAAACUACUUACUUCAGAUUUCUAACAAGAAAAUUUAAAGUACUUGUUUAUGAAAUUUCUGCUACAAAUAAUAUUAUUUUCUUAAAGAAAAUAUUCGGUAAGCCCUUUUAAACAAAAUAGACCAGAAAACCAACAGCAAACUUUAUUGACAUUUACAUAUACUUAUAAUAUUGUACAGACAAAUGAUUAUCGAUAUAUUUAAACUCUUCCUCAUUGUCCAGACUGAGCGAAAACUUAAUAUGUAAAUAUAAUCGUCUUUCAAAUUUAAUUUGUUUUAUAUUUCUGGCGUUUAUGUAAGAAUGUAAUAGGAAAUUUUUUUACAUGCUCGUCUUGUCUGUCAGUCCUCAUGAAUAAUGGGAAUAAGAACUCGUGAUGGAUUUUAUUCGAAUUCUGAUGAACGCUAUUUGACAAGUUAAUAGUCGUUUAGUUGGCAAAAUAUUCAACCUUUAUGAAACUCCAUAUUUUGUGACACGUGUGUUCGUAAUAUCCCGCAAUUUGUCCCUAUUUUGAGACAAGAUAUAUUUAGUCCGCACUUUCGCAACAUAUUUCAGAUAAAUUGUUUUGAUGUUGUCCGUCCAACCACACGUAGGUCUUUCAAGUUCCCUUUCGUUAAGACUGAACUCAUUAUAUGCGUAUAAUAUGUGUCCGAUCUGUGUCCCUCCCAUCAAAUUACGGAAUUGUCUCCACAAAAUGUUAUGUUAAAAUAGUUCACUGUCGUAAUAUUAAAAAUAAAUUUAAAUGUUAACAGGCGUUUUGACGCAUAAAACAAAGAUUAACUGAUGAAGAACCCUGAAAUAUUGAAUCUUUUCACCCUUCUAGUUGGGUUUAAAUAUUGACUUGAGAGACGGCUGUAGGAACUGUGAUUUUAACGAUGUGACGUCUGUAUAACGUCUUGAAAGGUUUUUAACAAAUUGUGGUUAAACACGUCCAACUAUGUAAAUAGAAUAUGAUAUGUAUGAAGAAUAAACAAGCUGUUCCUUGUAA